rnacentral:lncRNA from 1 species
ACAUAUGUUCUAUAAAUAUCAUCCCUCUAGCCAGAGUUGUGGCACACACCAAGUAAAGGAUAAUUGAUAUCAUAACUCUUGCUUUCAAAAUGAGGCUCAUUGGGUCCUUACUAAUUUUCUCUCUAGUUUUAUCUUUUGUACUAGGAGGUUCAGCACAGAAUUGUGGCAGCGGCGUUGUGUGCGGUGAACGUGAUACUGGCCACGGGACGGAUGGCGGUGAACUGGGCAAGAUCAUCUCAAGGGAGAUGUUUGAAGACUUGCUUCCGUAUAGAAAUGAUGUUAAUUUUCAUUACUUAUAAAAUUUGUUAAUAUUCAUUUUAAAAUAGUGGAUUUUUUAAACUAAUGAUAUCAAUUACUUGCGGUUAAAAUAAUAUAUAUAAAUAAAUUGAUGGAAUUUAUGAAAUUGAAAAGAAAAAGAGAAGAAAUAGUUAAUUAAGUAAUUUUUUUAAAAAUCAUUCAAAUAAUAUAAUUUUUAAGAGGGGGCUAUUUGAACACACCAGUUUUCUCUCUACAUUCUUUUUCUAAUUGAGAAUUUUAUUAUCUAAAUAGUUUUCAAUAAAAUUACUUAAUUAACUCUUUCUUCUCUUUCUCAUCUCAAGUUCACAAAUUCCCAUCAAUCCAUUGAGAUAUAUUUUUUUAGUCACAAAUAAUUGAUAUCACAAACUAGGGAAAACAAAAUCCACAGUUUAAAUUAAAUGUCAACAAAAUUUUAUGAGUCAUGAAAGUCAAUAAAUAUCAAGAAAUUAAAUUUUAAUAAACAGGAAAUUAAUGAACAUCAAGAAAAAGUUUUUAUAUAUAAAAAGUAUGAAAUAGAGGUCAUGAUCUAUUAGAAAAGACCAAAAAUGAAUUUAAAAAAUAGUGAAACUUGAGUCUUUAGUUUAUAAAAUGUGAGAAUUUGCAAUUGUCAGGUAUAGAGAGAGAUUCAUGAAAGGUAAUCUUGAUAUUUUCAAAUAGUCCCAUCUAAUAUUUGAUUGGAAAGCGCGUGUGGACAGAAAAUUAGCGGACUCAAAUAGCCCCACUCUUUCUUUAAUUUCGCAUUGACCCCGAUUAUUUUGUGAUUUUCUCCUUUUAGUCAAUAUUAAUUGUUGUUACUGGAUUUUCCCCUGAGACCUAGAGCGAGCCCAUAACGUUCAUGCUCGAGGACUUCCCUGCCCCGAGAACCAAGCCCAAUAAUCUUGAGGCCUUUGCAGGUUUAUCCAGGAAAGGUGCCUCUGCUAGGAUAAGAAAAGUCAAUUCGGGUUGUGAGUCGAUCCUCAGCCUAGUAAGUGAUGACAGCGUACAGUAAUGAUCUUUGACAAACAUCAAAAGAUCGAUUAAUAUGAAAAAAUCCAUCACGAUAACCAUGUGUGUGAAUGUAAGUGUGAGUGUGAGGCGUGAGUUAUUUUAAUUUGUGGAUCCCUCUAACGUACAUUUAGGCCUCGUUUGGUAUGUCGGAUUGGAUUGGAUAGGAUAAUACUGAACUAUAUAAUAUUAUGUUGUGUUUGGUUCAAUAUUGAAUUGAACUAUAAAUAAUCAUGUUUUAUAUUAUAAUAUUAUAAUUUACAAGUUAUUAUUAUUAUUAUUAUUAUUAGUAGUAGUAUAAACUGAAAUUUUGUAUUAUUAAUAAUACAAAUCAACCUCAAUGACAUUAAUGAAAUAUAAAUAAUAAUUUAAAUAAUUUUUAUUUUGUUAAAUAUAUAUAUGAUAUUUAUAUUAUUUUUAUUCAAUAAUCUAUUAUUUUAUAUUAAAAAAAAGUAUCUUUUUGAAUAUUAAUUUAAUAAUUAAUUUAUAAUGUAAAUUUGAAAUUAUAAAAAUAAUUAAUAAUUAAAUAAAUUAAAAUAAAAUUUUAUUUUAAUUUGAAAUUAAUAAUAUUUUUAGUAUAAUUUAUUAUUUACAUGAUUAAAAUCAAUAUUUUUUAUUACAUUUAUCACAUAUGACUAUAAUUUUAAUAUUUAUAAAUUAUUAUGUUUAAUUGAGUUAUCAAUAUAAUCUAAUACUAACUAAUCCCAUAGUCUCCCUGGGGAUAAUUUUCUUUAUAAAAUUGAGAUUAGUUUGUGGGCCCACGAUAACUAAAUUCCAAUAUCCUUGAUAGCACCAAACAUGAGACAAGGAUAAAAUUUAAAAAAAGAGUCAAAUCCCCAGUUUUAAUACUCCAACCAAACAAGGCCUUAAUGUAUGUUAGGGUUUGCCUUAAUUUCUAGGCAUUUGCUGCCUCAAUGAAAAUGAAGAUGCGCUCGUUUUUGCACGUGUUAUUCUGCAAUGAAAAUGACGGUGUGCUCGUUUUGCAUGUGUUAUUCUUCAGUCACAUCCUCUUUUGUUUCUGUCUGCCUUUACAACAAAAAUUUACCAGCAACCUGCAAGCAUUCAUGCACAAACAGCCAAAAAAACGCCUAAUAUCAUCGCCCCACUUGCCCUUGUUUAGUUGUUUUCAAGAUCAAAGCCAACCUCAGUACAUUGGGAUAAAGACUGGAAGCAGAGAACAGCCGCUGCCAGAUCUACAAGAUGUGAAAUAAAGAAGACCAUCAAAAUCCUUAAUUAUUGCUUGUCUAUGUCAUGGUUUUAAAGAUAAACAAUCUUGAUAGGCUUUCUUACGUAAGACAUAUAGAUCCAACGAAAAUUAAAAAUAAGUAUUAAAAAUAAUAAAUAUAUGUUUUGAUGUGAACAAAAAAAUAGUAAUAAAAUUUUUUCCUGUACUUUUUUAUUUUCUAAACAUUUUCAUCUAAUAAAUAUUUUGUAAAUUUAAACUUAAAUGUAAAAAGUACAAGAAUAAUAGUUGAUUAUUUAUUUUAUAAUAAUUUUUUAUUUAUCAUUCAAGUUUUCUUAUAAUAAUUUUCUUAUAUAUUUAUUAUAAAAAAAUAUUUAUAAAAUAAAAAAUACAAGAAAAAUAUUUUAUUAUUCUGCUGUACCGUACAUCCGCCUUGGCCGUACAGCAGCAAUGAGCCAUCUCUNNNNNNNNNNNNNNNNNNNNNNNNNNNNNNNNNNNNNNNNNNNNNNNNNNNNNNNNNNNNNNNNNNNNNNAUAAUUUAAAUAAUUUUUAUUUUGUUAAAUAUAUAUAUGAUAUUUUUAUUAUUUUUAUUCAAUAAUCUAUUAUUUUAUAAAAAAAGUAUCUUUUUGAAUAUUAAUUUAAUAAUUAAUUUAUAAUGUAAAUUUGAAAUUACAAAAAUAAUUAAUAAUUAAAUAAAUUAAAAUAAAAUUUUAUUUUAAUUUGAAAUUAAUAAUAUUUUUAGUAUAAUUUAUUAUUUACAUGAUUAAAAUCAAUAUUUUUUAUUACAUUUAUCACAUAUGACUAUAAUUUUAAUAUUUAUAAAUUAUUAUGUUUAAUUGAGUUAUCAAUAUAAUCUAAUACUAACUAAUCCCAUAGUCUCCCUGGGGAUAAUUUUCUUUAUAAAAUUGAGAUUAGUUUGUGGGCCCACGAUAACUAAAUUCCAAUAUCCUUGAUAGCACCAAACAUGAGACAAGGAUAAAAUUUAAAAAAAGAGUCAAAUCCCCAGUUUUAAUACUCCAACCAAACAAGGCCUUAAUGUAUGUUAGGGUUUGCCUUAAUUUCUAGGCAUUUGCUGCCUCAAUGAAAAUGAAGAUGCGCUCGUUUUUGCACGUGUUAUUCUGCAAUGAAAAUGACGGUGUGCUCGUUUUGCAUGUGUUAUUCUUCAGUCACAUCCUCUUUUGUUUCUGUCUGCCUUUACAACAAAAAUUUACCAGCAACCUGCAAGCAUUCAUGCACAAACAGCCAAAAAAACGCCUAAUAUCAUCGCCCCACUUGCCCUUGUUUAGUUUUUUUCAAGCUCACAGCCAAUCUCAGUACACUGGGAUAAAGACUAGAAGCAGAGAACAGCCGCUGCCAGCUCUAGAAGAUGUGAAAUAAAGAAGACCAUCAAAAUCCUUAAUUAUUGCUUGUCUAUGUCAUGGUUUUAAAGAUAAACAAUCUUGAUAGGCUUUCUUACGUAAGACAUAUAGAUCCAACGAAAAUUAAAAAUAAGUAUUAAAAAUAAUAAAUAUAUGUUUUGAUGUGAACAAAAAAAUAGUAAUAAAAUUUUUUCCUGUACUUUUUUAUUUUCUAAACAUUUUCAUCUAAUAAAUAUUUUGUAAAUUUAAACUUAAAUGUAAAAAGUACAAGAAUAAUAGUUGAUUAUUUAUUUUAUAAUAAUUUUUUAUUUAUCAUUCAAGUUUUCUUAUAAUAAUUUUCUUAUAUAUUUAUUAUAAAAAAAUAUUUAUAAAAUAAAAAAUACAAGAAAAAUAUUUUAUUAUUAAUUUUUUAUAACAAAAUAUAUAUUUUUUAUUUUUAAUACUUAAUUUUUUAUUUUAAUUUUCAUUCAUGUGAUUUAUUUAAUUAUAAUAAACAUGAAUAAGAGUGUGAUUAAAAAUAAGAGUAAUAUUAUAAAUUUAUACUAUUAAGAAAUAGGGGAAAUUAGCAACGUCCCUUCAAAAAACCAUGACACAUAUGUUCUAUAAAUAUCAUCCCUCUAGCCAAAGUUGUGACACACACCAAGUAAAGGAUAAUUGAUAUCAUAACUCUUGCUUUCAAAAUGAGGCUCAUUGGGUCCUUACUAAUUUUCUCUCUAGUUUUAUCUUUUGUACUAGGAGGUUCAGCACAGAAUUGUGGAAGCGGCGUUGUGUGCGGUGAACGUGAUACUGGCCACGGGACGGAUGGCGGUGAACUGGGCAAGAUCAUCUCAAGGGAGAUGUUUGAAGACUUGCUUCCGUAUAGAAAUGAUGCCCGAUGCCCUGCCAGAGGCUUCUACACUUAUGAUGCUUUUAUAGAGGCAGCCCAAGCUUUUCCAGGCUUUGGUAACUCUGGAAAUGAAACCAUGCGUAAAAGAGAAAUUGCUGCCUUUUUUGCCCAAACUGGCCAUGAAACUACUGGUUUGUUUCAAUUCCUGAUCAAAUUAAUUAAAUUUAAAGAUUCCUUUUUCCGGUGCACUAACAAGUAAUGUGCAAGUAUUAAAUUAUAAAUAAACAAUAUCACCCAAUCUCCAAUCGGUAUUUUAAUUUGUUACUAAUCAAUUUUUGUGGUUAAUAAACUUACAGGGGGAUGGACCGAUGCACCUGGUGGAGAAUAUGCUUGGGGAUAUUGCUAUAUUAGGCAAGUUAGCCCUGCGUCGUCCGACUACUGUUAUCCUUACUGUCCAUGUCCCUUGCCAGGGCAAUACUAUGGCCGAGGUCCAAUUCAACUCACUUGGUAGGCUGAACAUUUUGAAUUAGUAUAUCAUUGUCUGAUCUGAAUGAGAAAGUCUUGCCCUCUUGAAUUGAAAACUUGUUAAAUGUGCAUUUACAUUCUAUCCAACAUUAAUUAUUCACUAACUUCUUGGUGUACAGGAAUUGCAAUUACUUAAGGUGCGGAGAAGCCUUGGGGGUGGACUUGUUGAACAAUCCAGACCUACUUGCCACUGAUCCAGUACUAUCAUUCAAGUCAGCAAUCUGGUUCUGGAUGACUGCACAGCCACCAAAGCCAUCGUGCCACGAAGUCAUUAUCGACGAAUGGAAACCAUCAGCAAAUGACGUAAACGCCGGCCGGCUUCCGGGAUACGGUCUAACCACAAAUAUAAUCAACGGUGGAAUUGAAUGUGGCUACGUUGGGAAUGACGCUGUACGUAACCGUAUUGGGUUCUUUACCACUUUCUGUGGCAAGUUUGGGAUUCAGCCUGGUGACAAUCUUGAUUGCUCCAACCAACGGCCUUAUGGCCUUAAUCUGAUGGCACAAUCUAUGUGAUCAUCAUGAUCAACGUUUUAGUAAAAUAAGCUUAAUAAAAGCUACUUAAUAAAAACUUUAGAUGUCACACUUGUAGGUGGACAACUAAACUGUUACGCUCUUAUUGUAAGUAAAUUAAAUAAGACUGAUCCAACAUGGAUCAAUGAGUCUUCUCCAUCUUUCAUCGUUUGAUUAUUUUAACAUGACAAUUAUUUGCAACGCAAAAAGUGCCGUUGACACUUAUCCUGCCUAUACAGAUAAAGGCAAUAUCCAAUUCUGUAAGCCACAUGCAUAUUCAACGGCAUUGCUAUUCAUCAUCAUGAUGCUCAUUGUGGUACAGAUUAUAAAAUUUUGAUUAGGUCUGCUAUCCAACGUGGCUUGUCUCUCACUUGGAGGAAAUGCCUGGCAAACGAGUCAUGCAUGCAUCAAAUCAUUAUGAAGUUAGUACGCGUAUUGCUGCAGAAAUCACCCUACUACAAAGACAGCUAGAACAUUUUUGGAUACCUAAGCCCUGGGAAGUUAGUCUACCAUGUGGAUCUCAAUAAUAGAUAAUACUUUAUCAUCUAGUAGGCGACAAUAGGAAACUUCACAACAAUGAUUUCUAUUUUAAAAUUGGAUACAAUUUGCCAUAAACAAAAAUAAGGGGUUCUCUAAGAUGUUUGAACCAAUGAUUUAAUGGGGAAAAGAAUCUGAAGAAUUUACAGUUAAGUUUCACCUGUUCAUCCUACGCAUUCAUUUAUUUUUACUUCAAAGAAGGCGAAAUGAUAAUCAAGUAUCAUCUAGCAAUAUUUAAGAGUGAAAGCAACCGAUACUGAGAUGGAAGAAAGGUGAUAUACCAGACAAACAAUUUGUUUUUUGUAUAUAAUUUCAUUUCUAUAGGAUGAUACAGGUAUAUUUCAAUCAUUUACAAGUAUGACAAUAAAAUUUGUAAUCUAAUUGUUGAGGAUGUUGAGAAAGGAGACUCUAGCUUUGAUCAAACGCCUAGACAAGGAUCAAAGGCCUUCUUCAAGAUCUUGGAUGCUGGACUCCAAUUCUUUCAGCUGGUUUUGCAAAUAAACAGUGUUAACAGAUUUGAGUGUCAAUGCGGCAUCCACCUUCUCAAACUCAUUCGUUUCUAUCUUGACUUCCUCACAAGCUAUUCUUUUGGGGCGGAUGAGUUUGGAAGCCAAUACAAACCCACUUAGCUUUGAUGGAAUCCCAGCACCCGAGAUAAAGGACAGCAAGGAUCCAAAUGCAGCUAAGGUUACUGCUUCAACCUCUUUCAACGCGCUAACAUGUUCCUCAUUGAUUAGAGAAGAGCAUUUGUUUCCCAUGCCUUACAAACAAUAACCAAAAUAGCACACGUAAACAACACAGUUUAUAAAUGAUUCUAUCCAUAACUGAUUUUAUGUAAUAUUCAUUUGUGUAUGCAGGCGAGCAGAUCAACACAGAACAAAAGGAAGACUACCAGAAAUGAUCAAAUCUAGGAAGUUGCUGUGUUAUCGUAAUAUCACACUAUAAUUAAAAAUGACAGCACAUUAAUUCAGAAUUAACAAACUUCAAAGUGAAAGCAAAAACAGGCAUGUACCUCUAAAAACAACAUUGUGAGGAGUUUUAGUACAAUGCUGUUGAAGAAUGUUAGCAUCAUCAUAUGCAGGCGGUGAAUUACUGAAUUCUGCAACAGUGAACAACUUUUGAUAAGCUUAACGCAGAAAAGGAAAAAGAGAGGGCGAAGGAGAGAGAGAAGUGCACAUAAAAUAUGAAAAAACAGUGAUAGAUAUUGAACAAGAAGUAUAACUUCAUGCACCUGAAAUAUCAAUUUGUAUAUCAGAUGCUCCAGAGAAGUCCCUGAGUCUAACAUGAUAAACAAAUCAGAUUAUAGUCAAAUGGCAAUCAAACUAAAAAGCAAUAGUCCAAAGAAACAUACAGCUCAUCAGUGCUAAAAUUCAUCUCAGGAUCAUUAAGGCAUUCGGAAAUCCACCCCUCUAAUGACUGAUCUGUACCAUCACAACUAGAGGCAGAUACACCUGCUAAGAUAUGUCACAAUAUGAUUAGAGAACUCGAAAAUAGACAUUCAAGUUCUUGACUGUAUCAUAAUGUAGUUGCAAAAUACAAACCUGAAAACUCAGUAGUCCACUGAGAUGCUUCAGGUAAUACUUCUUCGACUGACUCCCCCCUCUCCUACACAGAAUGAAGAACAUAAAUAUUAGCAAUGUUGAAAGGACAAGCAAGGAGCAAUUUAGACAUAUGAUCAAAUAACUAAAACGUGCUCCAUAAUAUAAAGACAUGAUGCUAUUACAGAAUGAUCACAAAGAAGAGAUGUGGCCCGCACUGACAUUUGAUUUAAGGAACGGAGAUGGCAUUUCAUCACUGCAUAGGGAAGAAUCUACCACUUGAGUGUCAAAUUGUAACAUUCGUCGCCUCUUUAUUUGGGAAUAAGUCUCCCUACAAUCUUUUGGUUCCUUGCUCAUAUUACCUGAAAUCAACUCUCUCAAAUAAAAAAAAAACAUUGUCCAACCAGCAUGAUCUUUCAACGCAAGAAAAAGAAAUUGUGAGAGUCAAUGAAUGCUAGCAAAACAAGCCCCUACCGUUAUGAGUGGCAUGGUAAGCCAAAUCCCCACAUGCCUUAACCGGGGUUGUUUCAUCAUCAAGCAUGUAGGAAAGAUCCUCCCCAUUCAGAGCCACUUCAUUCCAUUGUGACCCAGACAUGUCUGCUAAAAUAAAAAAAUGACACAUACCCAGAUAUCACCACUCUCAUUCUACACGCCAAGCUUGGCCAAAAUCACUAGUUUCUGUAAAACACUUGAAUAACAUGCAAACUACACAUCGAGUCCUUUCCAAUUCCAAGACUUACGAUAACCAGUUUAACAAUCACCAAAUACACUUCCAAUGCACGAUAUAUAAACAAAUUUUUAGAAAUACAAGUCAUGAAAUUUCUCCGAUAAAAAAAAAAAAAUUCCAAUUUGUAUUGAGUCAGCCAUUGUGAAUAAGCUUUCUAAAUUCUAAUAGCAUUUGAGUCAAUUAUAAAAAACAAUAUACCAGAUUAAAUUUACUAAAAGAUUAAAAAAACAAAACAAUAGAAAAUCAAAUUACACACGAAACCCUAGAUUGUCUAUUUCAAGCAAAGUAUGUAACUUAUAAUAAAAUUAAAUGCAGAUUUGAGAACCCAAAAAUACCACAAUUGAAUUAGAGAGUGUUAUUAGUUAGGGUUUUAAUGAGAAUGAAAAACACUGAGGAAACCGGGAACGUGCAGGAUAAAAAGCAUUACCAGUGGAAGCGUAAGAUAGAGAACGGCAAGUUAAAGUGCGCCUCGAGGAAUAGAGACACAGAGAGAGAGACGAGCACCCCAAGCACUGUAAGUAACUGGGAGUGGAAAAUAAAGGGGUCGUUUGAUUUUGUCGUCUUCUACUUCCUCCUCUUUGUUAGUUUUUGUUUUUUUUUUUUAAAUGAGUGUGGCAACGUGAAUCACCCAAUUUUUUUUAUGGGUCCCGUUACCUUACAAAAUAUGUAACAAACAUUAAAGAAAUUGACAAACAAAUCAACAACAUUAUAAUUUGGAUUUUACCGAUUGAAGCGGUCUGUAGCCGGUUGAAAAAAGUAAGUCGAAAGAUGAAUAAUUUCUCCUAUAGCGUGUGCAACCCAAAGCGACAUGAUUUCUUUGAACUCUCAGGCUGAGGAAACUUCCUACUUGCGCAUAUCCGCCCGCCCUGAGCGAGAAAACGAACAGAUCGAGGUCGGAAUGGGAUCCGGUGUUUUCACGUCUCACCGUAGUGCCCGGUUUGGCGGUUCAGCUUGCUUCUAUGGCUCACGCAUGAACAGCAACACUCAUGCAGAUUGACAUGGAUGAUCCUUGGGGUUACUUUUUUUAUUUUUAUUAAGAGCUUUAUCCGAUUUGCUGCCAAACGCUUCAAAAAGAGAGUUUUUGCUGUCCAUUUGAAGCCGGUGAAAGAUGCAGUCUCAUGUGAAAGAUGCAGUUUCAUGUCCUGCUCGUAUUGGAUGCAAAAAAUCGAAAGUUUAAUUAGAUUCAUUCUAGUUUUUUUCCUGAGUUGAUUAAAAAGACUGGACAUAACUUAUGGAUUUUAUGCAUUAUGCUGCCUCUUCAUCAAAUAACUCAAAAAUGAAUCCUUUGUAAUUUUGAUGUGGACUAAUUGGGGAGCAAGAAAGGGUGUGCUUUUUAAAAGAUGAAGAUGCAAAGAAGGUUUUUUCUAAAGCCAAAGCCACUUCACCGUUUGUGCUGAGAGUAGUCAUCAAUGAGGUAUUAAUUUUUAACUCCAUUGAUGCAAGCUCCAAGGAACUUUUCAUGGUCGCCUGCCCCUGAAUAUUUGUAUAAAUUAAAUCUUGAAGAUGUAAUGUUUGAUCAUAAAUCAAGGGGCAGGAGUUGGUGCUAUUAUAAAAAAAAAAAAAAAAAAUUUCAUAGUUGCUGUGAAAACCAGCUUUAAUGGCACUGAAUCGAAUUACAAAAAGGAAAAUUUCUUGCCUCCUGAAUCGAAUUCAAACAGUAACCCUUGCUUUGACCCGGUGGCCCAAGCGGUUUUCUUUCACCAGUUUUCCCAGUUUCCCAUCACUUCUUUUUUUCUGUUCAUUUCAUUCCCAUUCGUUCGAUUUUAGUGUUCACAUCUAACGGCCCUCAUUCAUGCAAUGUUUGUUACAUGAUGAUGUAACUUAACCUGACCUUUUUUACAUUCUAUUUAUAAAAAUAAAUUCAUUAUUAAAAAUUAAAAAUAUCAAAAUUACUUUUUGCUAACUAUUUUUUAUUUUGUAAUUACAUAUUCUCUCUCUACUUUUAUAUUAUAUAAAUUAAAUUCCCAACUUUACAUUUUUUUAAAUUUAUUUUUUUGACAUUUCUUAGUAUAUUCUAAUCUAUAUUCAUACUUUAUGUAUGCAAAAUAUUUUUUUCUUGAUACUUACUAACUUUUGUGUUUAGUAAAAAUUAAUUUAUUGAUAUUCAUUAAUUUUCAUUACUUAUAAAAUUUGUUAAUAUUCAUUUUAAAAUAGUGGAUUUUUUAAACUAAUGAUAUCAAUUACUUGCGGUUAAAAUAAUAUAUAUAAAUAAAUUGAUGGAAUUUAUGAAAUUGAAAAGAAAAAGAGAAGAAAUAGUUAAUUAAGUAAUUUUUUUAAAAAUCAUUCAAAUAAUAUAAUUUUUAAGAGGGGGCUAUUUGAACACACCAGUUUUCUCUCUACAUUCUUUUUCUAAUUGAGAAUUUUAUUAUCUAAAUAGUUUUCAAUAAAAUUACUUAAUUAACUCUUUCUUCUCUUUCUCAUCUCAAGUUCACAAAUUCCCAUCAAUCCAUUGAGAUAUAUUUUUUUAGUCACAAAUAAUUGAUAUCACAAACUAGGGAAAACAAAAUCCACAGUUUAAAUUAAAUGUCAACAAAAUUUUAUGAGUCAUGAAAGUCAAUAAAUAUCAAGAAAUUAAAUUUUAAUAAACAGGAAAUUAAUGAACAUCAAGAAAAAGUUUUUAUAUAUAAAAAGUAUGAAAUAGAGGUCAUGAUCUAUUAGAAAAGACCAAAAAUGAAUUUAAAAAAUAGUGAAACUUGAGUCUUUAGUUUAUAAAAUGUGAGAAUUUGCAAUUGUCAGGUAUAGAGAGAGAUUCAUGAAAGGUAAUCUUGAUAUUUUCAAAUAGUCCCAUCUAAUAUUUGAUUGGAAAGCGCGUGUGGACAGAAAAUUAGCGGACUCAAAUAGCCCCACUCUUUCUUUAAUUUCGCAUUGACCCCGAUUAUUUUGUGAUUUUCUCCUUUUAGUCAAUAUUAAUUGUUGUUACUGGAUUUUCCCCUGAGACCUAGAGCGAGCCCAUAACGUUCAUGCUCGAGGACUUCCCUGCCCCGAGAACCAAGCCCAAUAAUCUUGAGGCCUUUGCAGGUUUAUCCAGGAAAGGUGCCUCUGCUAGGAUAAGAAAAGUCAAUUCGGGUUGUGAGUCGAUCCUCAGCCUAGUAAGUGAUGACAGCGUACAGUAAUGAUCUUUGACAAACACCAAAAGAUCGAUUAAUAUGAAAAUGACGAUGUGCUCGUUUUGCAUUUGUUAUUCUUCAGUCACAUCCUCUUUUGCUUCUGUCUGCCUUUACAACAACAAUUUACCAUCAACCUUCAAGCAUUUUUGCACAAACAGCCAAAAAAACACCAAAUAUCAUCGCCCCACUUGCCCUUGUUUAGUUUUUUUCAAGCUCACAGCCAAUCUCAGUACACUGGGAUAAAGACUAGAAGCAGAGAACAGCCGCUGCCAGCUCUAGAAGAUGUGAAAUAAAGAAGACCAUCAAAAUCCUUAAUUAUUGCUUGUCUAUGUCAAGGUUUUAAAGAUAAACAAUCUUGAUAGGCUUUCUUACGUAAGACAUAUAGAUCCAACGAAAAUUAGAUGAAACGUUUAGACACAAGACUUUUAACUUUGAUAUCGUAUAAAGAGUAUAUUUAUAAUAUAAUCUAUUGUUUGGCACAUCGUCUCUGAGUCUCAAUAAAAAAUUUUUAAGUUUUUCGUUGCUAGCUUCUUAAAUUUUCAUGUAUUAUACAUAAUAUAUUAUGAGUGAGGAGUCAUAAACUAAUGAAUAUGGAAACUUAGGAUAAAAAGUUUGAGAUUUUUUUAAAUAAUUUAUGUAGGUAUUUUAUUUUAUAGAAGUCCAUGGACUUACUCAAAUGCUAACUAAGACUUGAGGGUUGCCUAAACUUUUAUAUACCUAACCAAAAAUUUAUUAUCAAACAAUGUGAGAUAUUAUCCCUAACCCUUAACGGUGUGGAGUACAAUCCUUAAUAACAUAUUCCUUUGAAGAAAUUAAAAGAAAAAAAACUUAGUUCGGUAUUUCAAAAAGGGGAGAUUGCCAAAUUCUCUUUAUUGUUAUUGAUAUAUAUCAUUUACCCUCUUAACGGUUUUUAUAAUAGCCAAUAACCCCUUAACAACAUUAGUUUAUAAUAUUAUUCAUAUUUUCAAAUACACUUUUAUUUUUAUUUAUUAUAAAUUAAAUAAAUCAUAUGAAUAGAAACUGAAUAAAAAAUAAGUAUUAAAAACAAUAAAUAUAUGUUUUGAUGUGAACAAAAAAAUUAGUAAUAAAAUUUUUUCUUGUACUUUUUUAUUUUCUAAACAUUUUCUUCUAAUAAAUAUUUUGUAAAUUAUAAAAUUAAAUGUAAAAAGUACAAUAACAAUAUUUUAUUAUUUAUUUUAUAAUAAUUUUUUAUUUAUCAUUCAAGUUUUCUUAUAAUAAUUUUUUUAUAAAAUAAAAAGUAUAAGAAAAAUAAUUUAUUAUUAAUUUUUAUAUCAAAAUAUAUAUUUCUUAUUUUUAAUACUUAAUUUUUUAUUUUAAUUUCUAUUCAUAUGAUUUAUUUAAUCUAAAAUAAAUAUGAAUAAGAGUGUAAUUAAAAAUAAGGAUAAUAUUAUAAAUUUAUACAAUUAAGAGAGUUAUUAGUUAUUAUAAAAAUAAUAAGAGACAAAUGUUAUAUAUCGAUUACAGUAUUGGGAAAAUUAGCAACCUCUCUUCAAAAAACCUUGACAUAUACGUUCUAUAAAUAUAACCCUCUAGCCAAAGCUGUGACAUACACCAAGCAGAGGAUAAUUGAUAUCAUAACUGUUGCUUUCAAAAUGAGGCUUAUUGGGUCCUUACUAAUUUUCUCUCUAGUUUUAUCUUUUGUACUAGGAGGCUCAGCACAGAACUGUGGAAGCGGCGUUGUGUACGGUGGACGUGAUACCGGCCAUGGGACGCAUGGCGGUGAACUGGGCAAGAUCAUCUCAAGGGAGAUGUUUGAUGACUUGCUUGAGUAUAGAAAUGAUGAACGAUGCCCUGCCAGAGGCUUCUACACUUAUGAUGCUUUUAUAGAGGCAGCCCAAGCUUUUCCAGGCUUUGGUAACUCUGGAAAUGAAACCAUGCGUAAAAGAGAAAUCGCUGCCUUUUUUGCCCAAACUGGCCAUGAAACUACUGGUUUGUUUCAAUUCCUGAUCAGCUUAAUUAAAUUUAAAGAUUCCUUUUUCCGGUGCACUAACAAGCAAUGUGCAAGUAUUAAAUUAUAAAUAAACAGCAUCACCCAAUCUCCAAUCGAUAUUUUAAUUUGUUACUAAUCAAUUUUUGCGGUUAAUAAACUUACAGGGGGAUGGCCCGAUGCACCUGGUGGCGAAUAUGCUUGGGGAUAUUGCUUUAUAAGCGAAGUUAGCCCUCCGUCCGACUACUGUGAUCCUAACUAUCCAUGUCGAGGGAAGUACUAUGGCCGAGGUCCAAUUCAACUCUCUUGGUAGGCUGAACAUUUUGAAUUAGUAUAUCAUUGUCUGAUCUGAAUGAGAAAGUCUUGGCCUCUUUAAUUAAAAACUUGUUAAAUGUGUAUUUACAUUCUGUCGAACAUUAAUUAUUAACUAAUUUGUUGGUGUUUAGGAAUUACAAUUACUUACGGUGCGGAGAAGGCCUAGGGCUAGGAGAGGAGUUGUUGAACAAUCCAGACCUUCUUGCUACUGAUCCAGUACUAUCAUUCAAGUCAGCAAUCUGGUUCUGGAUGACUGCACAGCCACCAAAGCCAUCGUGCCACGAAGUCAUUAUCGACGAAUGGAAACCAUCAGCAAAUGACGUAAACGCCGGCCGGCUUCCGGGAUACGGUCUAACCACAAAUAUAAUCAACGGUGGAAUUGAAUGUGGCUAAGGUGGGAAUGCCGCUGUACGUAACCGUAUUGGGUUCUUUACCACUUUCUGUGGCAAGUUUGGGAUUCAGCCUGGUGACAGUCUUGAUUGCUACAACCAACGACCUUAUGGCCUUAAUCUGAUGGCACAAUCUAUGUGAUCAUCAUGAUCAACGUUUUAGUAAAAUAAGCUUAAUAAAAGCUACUUAAUAAAAACUUUAGAUGUCACACUUGUAGGUGGACAACUAAAUUGUUAGUUUGUUACGCUCUUAUUGUAAGUAAAUUAAAUAAGACUGAUCCAACAUGGAUCAAUGAGUCUUCACCAUCUUUCAUCGUUUGAUUAUUUUUUUGAGUUUUUUUGUUAAAAUUUUGUACGUUUGUGGUUAGUUAUUUUAACAAAAUAAUUAGUCGAGAAAGGUAAAUGUUUUGGGGGUGAGAAAUACCACGAUCAGGCACACGAGGAGAAUGUGCUCCCUCUGCCUAGAAUGACUCCUUGAGGAAGAUUAGACCCGAUGAAGUGUGUGGCUGGUCACACGAGUAGAGUUGGCUCGAGACAUGCAAGGAGGGACCAGAACCAAGUCAAUUCGAAGACUUGGUCAAAGGUCAACCCGUGGGUUUCCUCCAAAGAAUUUGGGCACAAAGCUCACUCACCAGCAGUUACACUGCCCAUUCGCCCAUGGUUAUGUAAUCAACCCAUCAACGAAGUCGAGGGAGAAGAGGCUAAUAAUUCUGGUUGGAUAUGAAAGCUUCAGAGAACAGAGUUAAGGGAGUUAGACAACUUUUCAUUUAAUUUUCUCAUACUCUCAAUCUAUUCACAAUUUUAUCUUCUCUAUCAUUCUUUCUUUCUGAAAUAAAACCUUUCUUUUAUUUAGAGCAGUUUAAUUACGCCAUGGGAAUCGUGACCUAAGUUUUUCUAGGCAAACCCAAAUCGCUGACUUGAGCGUCGGAGGGAUUACGGUGGAAAAACCUCUAGCAUCUCCUGACUAGUUGUUGUGAACACAUGUGUUCUUGGAGGAAGUAUUUGAGGUCACAUGAACUUGUUCGAUAGUGGGGAAGCUAGGGGCAGAUCCAGGAUUUUAAAGUACCCCGAGCUAAAUUUUUUAUAAAAAAAAGUUAUAUUGUAAAGUGAACAUAAAAUUUUAUAAGAAAAAAAUAAAAUACACAUAAUAAGAUGAGAACAUUAGAAAUCUUACACUAAAUAAUAAUUACUUUAAAUAAAAUAAUUAUAUAAAAAUAAAAAAUAAAAAUAUAAUUCAAAACAAAAAUAUAACUAAAGUUGUAUUUUUCGCAACUUCAAACAAUAAAAUUCAUCAAUUAUGGAUUUUGGAUCAAUAGUAUCUGCAAUUUCUCUUUCAGCAUAGACAACCAUACAAUUAGAAAGAAACUCAUUUUCUAUUUUAUUGCAAAGUGAUGUCUUGAUAAGGCUCAUGGUUGAAAAUGCAUGCUCUGUUUGUGGCUGCAAAUGAAAGGAGUUUCUUGACUUGGAUUUAUCGGACACAUUAUACCUAUAAAUUACCAUAACAUGAAACUACAUAAGAAUUAAUAAAUUAACUAAUAAUUACAAGCUUAAUUAGCAUGCUUAAAUAAAUUAAACAAUUCAAUUUUUUUCAUCUUUUCUAUUUCUAAAAAAUAUUAUUAGUAAAAAAAUGAGAUGAAGAUUACACGAAAUUGCAGAUACUAUUAUUAGUAAACAAUUCACACUUGACUAACAUGCAAACAACACAUUGAGUCCUUGCCAAUUCCAAGACUUGCGAUAACCAGUUGCACAAUAUAUAAACAAAUUUUUAGAAAUACAAAUCAUGAAAUUUCUCCCCAAAAAUUAAAAAAAAAAAUCCAAUUUGUAUUGAGCCAGCCAUUGUGAUUAAGCUUUCUAAAUUCUAAUAGCAUUUGAGUGAAUUUUAAAAAACGAUAUACCAGAUUAAACUUACUAAAAUAUUAAAAAAAUAGAAAAUCAAAUUACAUACGAAACCCUAGAUUGUUACUUCAAUCAAAAUAAGUACCUUCUAAUAAUUUUAAAUGCAGAUUUGAGAACUCAAAAAUACCACAAUUGAAUUCGAGUGUUAUUAAUUAGGGUUUUAAUGAGAAUGAAAAACACUGAGGAAACUGGGAACGUGCAGGAUAAAAAGCAUUACCAGUGGAAGCGUAAGAUAGAGAACGGCAAGUUAACGUGCGCCUCGAGGAAUAGAGAUAGAGAGAGAGAGAGACGAGCACCCCAAGCACUGUAAGUAACUGGGAGUGGAGAAAUGGCACGAGUGGAAAAUAAAGGGGUCGUUUGGUUUUGUCGUCUUCUACUUUUGUUUUGUGUUUUUUUUUUUUUUUUAAAUGAGCGUGGGUAUCUGAAUCAUCCAAUUUUUUUUUAUAUUCUAUUUAUAAAAAUAAAUUCAUUAUUAAAAAUUAAAAAUAUCAAAAUUACUUUUUACUAAUUAUUUUUUAUUUUAUAAUUACAUAUUCUCUCUCUACUUUCACAUUCUAUAAAUAAUUUUUAAGUAAUUUUUUACAAAUCAUUCAGAUAAUAUAAUUUUUAAGAGUGAGGUUAUUUGAAUCCACCAAUUUCAUCUCUAUAUCUUUUUCUAAUUGAGAAUUUUAUUAUCUAAAUAGUUUUUAAUAAAAUUACUUAAUUAACCCUUUCUUCUCUUUCUUAUUUCAAUUUCACAAAUUCUCAUUAAUUCAUUGAGAUGUAUUCUUUUAACUGCAACUAGGAAAAAUAAAAUCCACAGUUAAAAUUGAAUGUCAACAAAUUUUUAUGAGUCAUGAAAGUUAAUGAAUAUUAAGAAAUUAAUUUUUAGUAAACACAAAAGUUAAUGAAUAUCAAGAAAAAGUUCUUAUAUAUAGAAAGCAUGAAAUAAAGGUUAUGAUCUACUAGAAAAGACCAAAAAUGAAUUCAAAAGAUAGUAAAAUUGAGUUUUUAAUUUAUAGAAUGUGAGAAUAAAAAGAGAAUAUGCAAUUGUAAGGUAUAGAGAAAGAUUAAUCGAGGAUAAUCUUGAUAUUUUCAAAUUUUAAAAUUUUAAUAAUGAAUUUAUUAUUUUUUAAAAAUAGGUAUAGAGAGAAAUUUGGUGGGAUCAAAUAGUCCCACCUAAUAUUUAAUUAGAAAGAUGGUGUAAGGAGAAAGUUGGCAGAUUCAAAUAGCCCUACUCUUUCUUUAAUUUUGCAUUGACCCCGGUUAUUUUAUGAUUUUCUCCUUUUAGUCAAUAUUAAUUGUUGUUACUGGAUUUUCCCCUGAGACCUAGAGCGAGCCCAUAAUGUUCAUGCUCGUGGACUUCCCUGCCCCGAGAACCAAGCCCAAUAAUCUUGAGGCCCUUGCAGGUUUAUCCAAGAAAGGUGCCUCUGUCAGGAUAAGAAAAGUGAAUUUGGGGUUUUGAGUCGAUUUUCAGCCUAAUAACAGCGGACGGUCAUGAUCUUUGACAAACAUCAAAAGAUCGAUUAAUAUGAAAAAAUCCAUCACAAUAACCAUGUGUAUGAGUGUGAGUGUGAGUGUGAGUGUGAGCGUGAGCGUGAGUUAUUUUAAUUUCUAGGCAUUUAUUGAAUGAAAUUGACGAUUGCUCGUUUUGAAUGUGUUAUUUUUCAGUCACAUCCUAUUUUUGCUUCUAUCUGUCUUUACGACAAAAUUUUAUCAUCAACCUGCAAGCAAUCAUGCACAAGCAGCCAAAAAAAAACCUAUUAUCAUCGCCCCACUGGCUCUUAUUUUCAAGCUCAAAACCAAUCUCAGUACAUUGGGAUAAGGCGAGAUGCAGAGAACAGCCACUGCCAGCUCUAGAAGAUGUGAAAUAAAGAAGACCAUCAAAAUCCUUAAUUAUCGCUUGUCUAUAUCAUGGUUUUAAAGACAAACAAUCUUGAUGGGCUCUCUUACAUAAGACGUAUAGAUCCAAUGAAAACUAGAUCGAAACGUUUAGACACAAGACUUUUGCUUUGAUAUCAUAUAAAGAGUAUAUUUAUAAUACAAUGUAUUAUUGUUUGGCACAUUGUCUCUAAGUCUCAAUAAAAAAAUUUAAGUUUUUCGUUGUUAAGUUCUUAAAUUUCAUGUAUUAUACAUAAUAUAUUAUGAGUUGGGAGUCAUAAACUCAUGAAUAUGGAAACUCAGGAUAAAAAGUUUGAGUUUUUUUUUAAAUAAUUUAUUUAGGUAUUUUUUUUAUAGAAGUCCAUGGACUUACUCAAAUGCUAACUAAGUCUUGAGGGUUGCCUAAGCCUUUAUAUACCUAACCAAAAAUUUAUUAUCAAACAAUGUGAGAUAUUAUCUCUAACCCUCAACGGUGUGGAGUACAAUCUUUAAUGACAUAUUCCUUUGAAGAAAUUUAAAAAAAAAAAAAACUUGGUUAGGUAUUUCAAAAAGGGGAGAUUGCCAAAUUCUCUUUAUUAUAAUUAAUAUAUAUCAUUUACUCCCUUAACUGUUUUUAUAAUAGCCAAUAACUCCUUAACAACAUUAGUUUAUAAUAUUAUCCUUAUUUUCAAAUACACUUUUAUUUUUAUUUAUUAUAAAUUAAAUAAAUCAUAUGAAUAGAAACUGAAUAAAAAAUAAGUAUUAAAAACAAUAAAUAUAUGUUUUGAUGUGAACAAAAAAAUUAGUAAUAAAAUUUUUUCUUGUACUUUUUUAUUUUCUAAACAUUUUCUUCUAAUAAAUAUUUUGUAAAUUAUAAAAUUAAAUGUAAAAAGUACAAUAACAAUAUUUUAUUAUUUAUUUUAUAAUACUAUUUUAAUUUCCAUUCAUGUAAUUUAUUUAAUCUAUAAUAAAUAUGAAUGAGAGUGUGAUUGAAAAUAAGGGAAAUAUUAUAAAUUUAUAUUAUUAAGAGAGUUAUUAGUUAUUAUAAAAAUAAUAAGAGAUAAAUAAUAUAUAUUUAUUACAGUAUAGGAACCUCUCUUCAAAAAACCUUGACACAUACGUUCUAUAAAUAUAACCCUCUAGCCAAAGCUGUGACAUACACCAAGCAGAGGAUAAUUGAUAUCAUAACUGUUGCUUUCAAAAUGAGGCUUAUUGGGUCCUUACUAAUUUUCUCUCUGGUUUUAUCUUUUGUACUAGGAGGCUCAGCACAGAACUGUGGAAGCGGCGUUGUGUGCCCAGGAGGGGAGUGUUGUAGUCGAUUUGGUUGGUGUGGCCUAACAACAGACUACUGUUGUGAAGGCUGCCAAAGUAACUGUAAUCAGGUUGUUUGCGGUGAAUGUGAUCCCGACGACGGGACGGCUGGCGAUGGCGGUGAACUGGGCAAGAUCAUCUCAAGGAAGAUGUUUGAAGACUUGCUUGAGUAUAGAAAUGAUAAACGAUGCCCUGCCAGAUGCUUCUACACUUAUGAUGCUUUUAUAGAGGCAGCCAAAGCUUUUCCAGCCUUUGGUAAUUCUGGAAAUGAAACCAUGCGUAAAAGAGAAAUUGCUGCCUUUUUUGCCCAAACUGGCCAU